rnacentral:rRNA from 1 species
CUACGGGGCGCUGCAGUGAGGAAUAUUGCACAAUGGGGGGAACCCUGAUGCAGCAACGCCGCGUGGAGGAUGACGCAUUUCGGUGUGUAAACUCCCUUUAUAUGUCAAGAAAAUGACGGUAGCAUAUGAAUGAGCACCGGCUAACUCCGUGCCAGCAGCCGCGGUAAUACGGAGGGUGCAAGCGUUACUCGGAAUCACUGGGCGUAAAGGACGCGUAGGCGGGUUGGAAAGUCAGGUGUGAAAUCCUACAGCUUAACUGUAGAACUGCACUUGAAACUUCUAAUCUAGAGUAUGGGAGGGGGGGAUGGAAUUAGUGGUGUAGGGGUAAAAUCCGUAGAUAUCACUAGGAAUACCUAAAGCGAAGGCGAUCUCCUGGAACAUUACUGACGCUAAGGCGUGAAAGCGUGGGGAGCAAACAGGAUUAGAUACCCUCGUAGUC